AGGGCACCACCAGGAGUGGAGCCUGCGGCUUAAUUUGACUCAACACGGGGAAACUUACCCGGCCUGGACACUGGAAGGAUUGACAGAUUGAGAGCUCUUUCUUGAUUCAGUGGGUGGUGGUGCAUGGCCGUUCUUAGUUGGUGGAGCGAUUUGUCUGGUUAAUUCCGAUAACGAACGAGACUCUAGCCUAUUAAAUAGGCUCUCGGCUUUUAAACGCCGGGAGGACUUCUUAGAGGGACAGGUGGCGGUUCAGCCGCACGAAAGAGAGCAAUAACAGGUCUGUGAUGCCCUUUGUUGUCCGGGGCCGCGCGCGCGCUACACUGAAGAGAUCAGCGUGCUUUACGUUCCUGCUCCGACCGGAGUGGGGAACCCAGUGAACCUUCUUCGUGAUUGGGAUAGAAGAUUGUAAUUAUUCUUCUUGAACGAGGAAUUCCCAGUAAAUGCGAGUCAUAAGCUCGCGUUGAUUACGUCCCUGCCCUUUGUACACACCGCCCGUCGCUACUACCGAUUGAAACGAUU
rnacentral:rRNA from 1 species